UUCUAUCAUCAGCCGAAUCACAGCAAUGUGUACGGGGGAACUUCGCUUGUCGUCUGUUCAAGGCAAGCUUGGGGUGAAGCGAGAAUGGCCCAGCCAUUCUCCCGGGCGUCUUCGUCGUCCGAAUCCGACAACUAACCUCGGAGGCAUUCCACGAAAGGAUGA
rnacentral:sRNA from 1 species